rnacentral:lncRNA from 1 species
GGCAAACAAAAAGUUACUAUUCUGUUCAGAUAUUCAUCUUUAGUUUAUAUAACAGCCAACAUAUUUUGUUAAUAAGUUAAGGAAAAUAUUGAUCUCAUCUAUAGAAGCUGGACAGAUUAUAUAUGGAUUGUUGAAAGCAGAAUUCAAAAUAAAUACUUGUAGUACCUGCAGUACCCUGGAAAGAUUUUGAUGCCUUGCUAACCUUCAACUAGAACACAUAUCAUAAGUUAGAAACAUGGUCAAUCACCAUAGAUGAAAAAAAUAAACAAAGACAAGUUCAGGUUAUUACUUUUCUAUAUGGCCAUGCAAUUGACAUCAUUUGAGCAUCAGCCAUAGUGCUCAUUUCAGCGUAAGGUCGAGGCAGAAUUGCAUCCCUUUUCAGCAGUAAAUUCACAAUAAUUUCACAAAAUUGCUUUCCAAGUACCUAACCUCCUACCAUGGUGUAUGAAUUAGUUGAAAUAAUCGUUCCCUUAGUCACAGGUAGAUCAGAUCUCAACAUGGCAUAUAAUAUCACAUCCUUUCCAACCUGAAGCAAAAAAUUGACACUUAUGAAAUGAAUCAACAUGUAGAACCACUAUAAAAUUAGAACUAGAAACUUCAUAUGAUGGAUGAGAAGAUUACAAGUUCA